UACAUACUCCCUCCGUCCGGAAAUACUUGUCCUAGAAAUAGAUGUAUCUAGACUUAUUUUAGUUAUAGAUACAUCCAUUUUGCACAUUUCUAGAACGAGUAUUUCCGGAUGAAGGGAGUAUAUG
rfam:Hordeum vulgare subsp. vulgare, WGS project CAJW01000000 data, contig: morex_contig_1612092